CAUUACAAAAAUCCAUAUGUUCAUUUAUACUUCCAACCAUUACAAAUACUUAUUACGUUCCAAAGAAACUACAAUAGUUUUGUAAGUUACACAAAAAAAAAACACAUUCAGGCUAUUGUUUCUUGUCCUAAGCUUCAUCAUGACUUCAAUACUUCAAGCCUUGAUUCACUCCACAAAACCCUAUGGUUUCAUCUUGUAACUUCUCCUUUAAGUCCUCAAGACUUUACCAAUGCCAAACCAGCAAAACCAUUCAGAACCAAUUUAUUAAUUCAUCGGUGCAACGUUCAUGUCAUCACCAACAUAAUUCAAAAUGCAUAG